GACGAACCGUGCGAACGUUGUUCGGAAUCACUGGGCUUAAAGGGCGCGUAGGCGGCUCUCUUGGUCGUGGGUGAAAUCCCCCAGCUUAACUGGGGAAGGGCUUACGAUACCGGGGGGCUCGAGGGAGGAAGGGGCGGUCGGAACUGUCGGUGGAGCGGUGAAAUGCGUUGAUAUCGACAGGAACGCCGGUGGCGAAAGCGGACCGCUGGCCCUCUUCUGACGCUGAGGCGCGAAAGCCAGGGGAGCGAACGGG
rnacentral:rRNA from 1 species